UACGUAGGGAGCAAGCGUUGUCCGGAAUCAUUGGGCGUAAAGCGCGCGUAGGCGGCUCGAUCAGUCUGUUGUGAAAAGUCAAAGGCUCAACCUUUGGCUUGCAGUGGGUACGGGGCAGACUAGAGUGCGGUAGGGGUGACUGGAAUUCCUGGUGUAGCGGUGAAAUGCGCAGAUAUCAGGAGGAACACCGGUGGCGAAGGCGGGUCUCUGGGCCGAUACUGACGUGGAGGAGCGAAAGCGUGGGGAGCGAACAGG
rnacentral:rRNA from 1 species